UACGGGGGGGGCAAGCGUUGUUCGGAAUUACUGGGCGUAAAGGGCUCGUAGGCGGCCCUCUCAGUCGGAUGUGAAAUCCCCCGGCUUAACCUGGGAACUGCGUCUGAUACUGGAAGGCUUGAGGAUGGGAGAGGGAUGUAGAAUUCCAGGUGUAGCGGUGAAAUGCGUAGAUAUCUGGAGGAACACCGGUGGCGAAGGCGGCAUCCUGGACCAUAACUGACACUGAUAAGCGAAAGCCAGGGGAGCAAACGGG
rnacentral:rRNA from 1 species